CCUACGGGAGGCAGCAGUGGGGAAUUUUGGACAAUGGGCGCAAGCCUGAUCCAGCCAUGCCGCGUGUGGGAAGAAGGCCUUCGGGUUGUAAACCACUUUUGUCAGGGAAGAAACGGCCUUUACUAAUAUUAGGGGCUAAUGACGGUACCUGAAGAAUAAGCACCGGCUAACUACGUGCCAGCAGCCGCGGUAAUACGUAGGGUGCAAGCGUUAAUCGGAAUUACUGGGCGUAAAGCGUGCGCAGGCGGCUUUGCAAGACAGAUGUGAAAUCCCCGGGCUCAACCUGGGAACUGCAUUUGUGACUGCAUGGCUAGAGUACGGUAGAGGGGGAUGGAAUUCCGCGUGUAGCAGUGAAAUGCGUAGAUAUGCGGAGGAACACCGAUGGCGAAGGCAAUCCCCUGGACCUGUACUGACGCUCAUGCACGAAAGCGUGGGGAGCAAACAGGAUUAGAUACCCUGGUAGUCCACGCCCUAAACGAUGUCAACUGGUUGUUGGACGGCUUGCUGUUCAGUAACGAAGCUAACGCGUGAAGUUGACCGCCUGGGGAGUACGGCCGCAAGGUUGAAACUCAAAUGAAUUGACGG
rnacentral:rRNA from 1 species